rnacentral:rRNA from 1 species
AUUGAACGCUGGCGGCAUGCCUUACACAUGCAAGUCGAACGGCAGCGGGGGAGAAGCUUGCUUUUCCUGCCGGCGAGUGGCGAACGGGUGAGUAAUACAUCGGAACGUGCCCUGUAGUGGGGGAUAACUGGUCGAAAGAUUAGCUAAUACCGCAUACGACCUGAGGGUGAAAGUGGGGGACCGCAAGGCCUCAUGCUAUAGGAGCGGCCGAUGUCUGAUUAGCUAGUUGGUGGGGUAAAGGCCUACCAAGGCGACGAUCAGUAGCUGGUCUGGGAGGACGAUCAGCCACACUGGGACUGAGAAACGGCCCAGACUCCUACGGGAGGCAGCAGUGGGGAAUUUUGGACAAUGGGCGAAAGCCUGAUCCAGCAAUGCCGCGUGUGUGAAGAAGGCCUUCGGGUUGUAAAGCACUUUUGUCCGGAAAGAAAUGGCUCUGGUUAAUACCUGGGGUCGAUGACGGUACCGGAAGAAUAAGGACCGGCUAACUACGUGCCAGCCGCCGCCGUAA